UAUGAUUUUAUAGUUAAUGCUUAAUAUGUCCUCUUUUCUUCCAUACAGAUGGAAAAUGCUGUGACUAGCCAUGUCACAGGUGGUGUCAUUGGUGCUGUUGUGGUCCUUCUGCUCGUAUUGAUCUUGGUUCCUUUGAUACUGUUUAUUUAGAAAAGGAUAAUAUCACUCCUGGCGCAGAACCUGCAAUUCCCCAAAAUCGACCACAGUUCUGCAACGUUCACCUGUGGGCCACCGCUCUUCAAGGCCAACCUCUGCUGCUGUUAGGCCAUGACCAAUGGGGUAAAGACCCAUGAGUUGUUAGUUGUGGAGAGCUGUAUGGUACAGUGGUACUGAAGGAGGAAGACUGUGUCGUGAGACGGUCCCAGAGCAUCUCAACCUGAGGAGCAGUGAAGUCUCCACAGAGAGCUUCAGGGUCACCUGGGAACACUCAGGCCAAGACGUGCUCCUUUACAGACUGUUCUGGAUCCCAACCAGAGGGGGAGACACUAAAGAAGUGAAGAUGCGGAGGAAUGGUAACAUGAACACCUACAUUGAAUACAAGGAGGCAAGUUUGAAAGUGACACCAUGACCAUCAAAGUGUCAACAGGUAAACUACAGGAUAUAUAGCUAAUGUAACCGCUCUCAAAAGACUUUGUAAUUGCACUUUUGCACAUUGAGCAUAACAGGGUCAAUGUAGUUGAUUAUAGUUGAGUAUGUAUAGUAUAGUGAUACUAUUGGGUAACGUUUAGGUGGAAAAAGACUUGGGUUUACCAAAAAAUUAUACAAAGAAAACAGCAGAGUUUACAAAAAUAUUACAUGAGGAACAAUUUAGAAAUAACUUGAAAUGGGAAUUUUUAUGUUUGUGCUUUUCUGAUAACUAAUUUCUGUGUUUGUGCAAGUGACUGAUUUAACGAAUCUUCACUUAUCAGUAUUUGCAAUUUGGCAGUACACCCAGACCUUGUUUUGAGAAAGAACAAAAUAUAUCUCUGUUUCAAGGUCUCAGUUUAGAGAGAAGAAGCCUCGUGAGGUGUUGGUCUGCCACAUGUUAUGAACCAGUAUUGGUCGGUGACAUGAAUGAAA
rnacentral:lncRNA from 1 species